GUGUACCGCCACGCCACCCUGAACAAGCCCAAUGUCUGAUCUCAGAAGCUAAGAAGGGCUGGGCCUGGUUAGUACUGGAUGGGAGACCACCUAGGAAGACCAGGUGCUGUAGGCA
rnacentral:rRNA from 1 species